rnacentral:rRNA from 1 species
GACAGAGGGGGCAAGCGUUGCUCGGAAUUACUGGGCGUAAAGGGCGCGUAGGCGGGAUGGCAAGUCGGUCGUGAAAUCCCUCGGCUCAACCGAGGAACGUCGAUCGAUACUGCUGUUCUUGAGGAUUGCAGAGGAGACUGGAAUUCCCGGUGUAGCGGUGAAGUGUGUAGAGAUCGGGAGGAACACCGGUGGCGAAGGCGGGGUCUCUGGGCAACAACUGACGCUGAGGAGCGAAAAGCGUGGGGGAGCGAACAGG